CGCCAUUUCUCUAGCCAGUCUUUAUGAGAGAAAAUUGAAAAGGGCAUCCAUGUAGGAAUAUGUUUUCUUUGUGAAAGAAUGAUGAGACAUUAUGGUCUCAUAUAGAACAGCACUCACUGUAAACAAAAAUCAUUGAUUGAUGUCAUUCACAUGAGUGUAGGAUAAUAACGUUCAAUAGUUUACUGUGAUGAAGAAGUAGACUUCGCUAAAUGAAGACCCAUAUGUCAGAGCGAGUCGACGGUUACCUCUGUCCCACUGUCAUGGUCCAAUGCAGGUCAAAGUUUAAUGAGUUGCCCUACUGUGAGAUAACCCCUGUGAACUCAGCCCUCACAGGGAGCGCUCAGGGAAAUGAACUAGUUAAUGAAAUGAACAGAGGGAGAGGAUGUGACAAGUGAUAAUGUUAAAUGGCUGAAUGAGUGUAGGAAAUUAAUAUGCUGCUUCAGUGGUUUGGUUUGGUUUGGUUUGCACUGCAAAGGAUUUGUUCAUGUGCAUACAUUGAGUGGCUAGACCUUAAGGUAGAUGGGUUUGGGUUGAGUAGUGGGGGAUGUUAUACUGAUAGAGGGUUGUUUGAGCUCUCUUCUUUCUCCCAAAUGACAUCACCUUAGAAUGUGUCUCCCUCUCAUCUGUAUCUCCUUGUGUGUAAGACAGACCCUGGGAUGGUACAGCAAUAGAAUCUCAAUACCAAAAUAACAACGCACACAUUCAUGUUCAUAUUGCAUGGGUUUCAAAUGUGUGGGUAAAACCUUUAAGUGACAUGUACUAUGAAUACCCACUUCAUAAUGCAUUAUAAACACACGUAUAACUCCUUAUGUGACUGUUCAUGUUGUCUUAUCCUCUCAAUCUGACCCAGAAGACACUCCAAGCCAAAUGAGAGGAACUACUCUACAUGCAUGCAUGCAUACUGCCCUUUAAACACUGUUUGUAUCUGUAGCUGUCAUAAAGAUGAGUGGCAGUGGAAUUGUUUUGUAGUAGGAAAUGGAGCCCAGAAGAAUUCUAACACAGACCCUAUUUUUGCUCCUUCUUACAACUGAGCUAAAUGAAGGACAGCAUAAUGCAAAGUCGUAUUCAGGACUGCCUGCAUUGAAAAUGGACCUGGCAUGGCUUACGGUCCAUAACCUGCUACCAACCUAAGUUGAUGUCCUCUACACCUCUGAUUACUGUUACAAGGAGGUGCUGUAUGACAAAGCUUAUCAAGACCAUUUGCUGCAAAGGCCCACAAUAUGCAAUGGAUACCUAUCCGCUGCCUUUGAUACUGUGAACCAUCAGAUCCU